AUGGCUCCCCCUACGCCGUCCUCGUCUCCGAUGCCGGUUAUGGACGCACGGAUGAGGCUGAUAAUCCAGACAACAGCACUGAUUAGUGUGAUUCAGGCAUGGGUCAUGUUCAUGCACCAGAGAGUUGUCCGUCGUGCUGGGAGACCGUUGAUCCGCUAUGGUCCAUUGUUUCCCCGGGAACAGGAGAGGAUCCAAAAUAUGAACUACAUCUACAACUGUAAUGACGUCGAGGCUCUGUGGAUGCUUAGAAUGAAAAGAGCACCAUUUUCCAGGCUUGUUGAGACCUUCAGGAGCAGGGGCCUGUUACAAGAUAGCAUCAACACCAGUGUCGAAGAGCAAGUGGCCACGUUCCUCCAUGUUGUUGGCCAUAACCAGAGGUUCAGGGUCAUUCACAACACGUUCAGGAGGUCAAUGGAGACCAUCUCUAGGUAA
rnacentral:rRNA from 1 species